rnacentral:tRNA from 1 species
GCCGAGAUAGCUCAGUCGGUAGAGCAGUGGACUGAAAAUCCAUGUGUCGUCGGUUCAAUUCCGACUCUCGGCACCA